UCACCAAGGUUUCCUUUAUCAACUCCAAGCAAAUCAACCAAUUUCAAUGGAGGAGCUAAAUUGCAAUAAAAAAUUUUAAAAAUCAAAACGAGGGUAAGGAGUUGUACUAAAUGAAAAAUAGGCAACAUUGAACAGCAACAACAAACUAUAUCUAUAUUCCAUUGCAUACUAUAACAGGUAAGAAUAUAUUUUUAAUUAAAAUUAAGAUAACAUUGUAUAAUUUUAACAUUAUUAUUUAAAAUUAGUUUUGUUAUUUAUUAAUCAGAAGAACUGAAGAAGUGAAGAACAACAAAUAGGGAAGGGGGCACGGAAGCACCGGAGAAGAAACAAGAAAGCAACCUUUUUUUGAUGUACUGAAUUGCUGAAGUGCAGACUUGCAGUUGGUAACUGGAUUACAGGAUUAGGGAUAGGGUUUUUAGAGCAGAACCGCAGUCGCAGAAGUCAGAACCGAAAUGGGCAAAUGGCGGAGGAACUGAAGUAAUGAACUGAUAUGAA
rnacentral:lncRNA from 1 species